GAGCCACAAGCGUUAGGCGGAAUCACUGGGCUUAAAGCGUGUGUAGGCGGAGGCGUAAGUGUCUUGUCGAAAUCCCCCCGGCUCAACCGGGGAACCGCUGGGCAUACUGCGUCUCUUGGGCCAAUCAGGGGCAGCUGGAACAAACGGUGGAGCGGUGAAAUGCGUAGAUAUCGUUUGGAACGCCAACGGCGAAAGCAGGCUGCUGGGAUUGUGCCGACGCUGAGACACGAAAGCCAGGGGAGCGAACGGGAUUAGAUACCCCGGUAGUCCUGGCCCUAAACGAUGUCCACUAGAUCGCGGGUCCCUCUGACGGGCCUCGCGGUCGGAGCAAAAGUGUUAAGUGGACCGCCUGGGAAGUACGGUCGCAAGGCUA
rnacentral:rRNA from 1 species